ensembl:lncRNA
CCCAUUAUCACUUGCUUUCAACGGCAGUAUUUCAUAAGACUGCAUGUUUAGGGAGGAAUGCACUGUUGCUUGGUAUAUCCAGUUUGGUUAAAGGAGGAAUGCAUUAAAAAUGCACCGCCACCGGUUUGUGUCAUGUGACUCAAAACAGAACUAAUAAAAAUGUGAAAUUUGAGGAAAGCAGUUAUUUCCAUUUAUCGAGGGACUUACAACUUCACCUGUGUGUGAACAAAAUGGAUUGGGUGGUCUAUUUGACAGCUACCAAGAUGAGUAGAAAAACACUGACAAUUGCAGUGUUAAGUUUAGUGUUUUGUAGCGCAUCAGCUGAGUCAGCAAACUCACCUACAACUGAAUCUAUGACUGUCACAUCAUACUCACCUGCACAAACGACACAAUUCUGCUUACAACUGACACAACAGCAUAUACAAUACUGUUCAACAACAACUGAAACUCUGUUUACAACCACUGCCAAACCAACACAAACACCUGAAUCAACAAACUCACCUAUAACUGCAACAACUGAAUCUACGACUGUUAGAACAAACACAGCUACAACUAAAACUCGGCUUACAACUACAAGCCUUCCUACAGAAAAAACAACACAACUCACAACUGAGCAAUCAACUACAUCUGAACAAAGCACCACAAUGCAGUCAGCAAAUUCAUCCCUACCUACAACAAGUACAGCUCAAUCUACAACUGAGGUUACAACAAACUCACCCACAACUACAACUCUGCUUACAACUACAGCUCCUCCUACAGAAACAACAACAACACAACUUACAUCUACGACUGAACCAAAAACCACAACUGCUGCAACAUCUACAACUGAACCAAAAACCACAACUGCUUCAACACCUACAACUGAACAAUCAACUACAUCUGAACAAAGCACCCCAAAGCAGACAACAACAUCAUCCCUACCUACAACAAGUACAGCUCAAUCUACAACCGUGGUUACAACAAACUCACCUACAACUACAUCUCGUAUUACAAUUACAGCCCCUCCUACAGAAACAACAACAAAACUUACAUCUACAGCUGAACCAACAACCAUAACUGCUUCAACACCUACAACUGAACUAUCAACUACAUUUGAACAAAGCACCCCAAAGCACACAACAACAUCAACCCUACCUACAAAAAGUACAGCUCAAUCUACACCCCUGGUUACAACAAACUCACCUACAACUACAUCUCGGAUUACAAUUACAGCCCCUCCUACACAAACAACAACAAAUCUUACAUCUACAGCUGAACCAACAACCACUAUUGCUUCAUCAUCUACAGCUGAACCAACAACCACAACUGAUUCAUCAUCUACAGCUGAACCAACAACCACAACUGUUUUAACAUCUAUGACAGAACAAUCAACUACAUCUGAACAAAGCACCCCAAUGCAGACAACAACAUCAUCCUUACAUACAACAAGUACAGCUCAAUCUACAACCCUGGUUACAACAAACUCACCUACAACUACAACUCUGCUUACAACUACAACACCUCCUACAGAAACAACAAGAAUUACAUCUACUGCUGAACCAGCAACCACAGCUGCUUCAUCGUUUACAACUGAACUAACAACCAUAACUGCUUCAACACCUACAACUGAACAAUCAACUACAUCUGAACAAAGCACCCCAAUGAAGACAACAACAUCAUCCUUACCUAUAACAAGUACAGCUCAAUCUACAUCCCUGGUUACAACAAACUCGCCUACAACUACAUCGCAGGUUACAACUUCAGACCCUCCUACAGAAACAACAACACAACUUACAUCUACAACUGAAAUAACAACCACAACUGCUUCAUCAUUUACACCUGAACCAACAACCACAACUGCUUCAUCAUCUACAACUGGACAAUCAACUACAUCUGAACAGAGCACCACAAUGUAGUCAACAACAACAUCCCUACCUACAACAAUUACAGCUCAAUCUACAACCCUAGUUACAACAAACUCACCAACAGCUGCAGCUAAGCUUACAACUCCAGGCCCUCCUACAGAAACAUCAACAACACAACUUACAUCUACAACUGAAAUAACAACCACAACUGCUUCAUCAUCUACAACUGGACAAUCAACUACAUCUGAACACACCACCACAAUGCAGAUGGCAACAACAUCACUACUUUCAAGACGUACAGCUCAAUCUACAACCAUGGUUACAAAAAACUCGCCUACAACAACAUCGCAGGUUACAACUUCAGACCCUCCUACAGAAACAACAACAAAACAUACAUCUACAGCUGAACCAACAAACACAACUGAUUAAUCAUCUACAGCUGAACCAAUAAUCACAACUGCUUUAACAUCUACAACAGAACAAUCAACUAGAUCAGAACAAAGCACCAAACCACAGAUGGCAACAAUAUCCCUACUUACAACAAGUACAGCUGAAUCUACGACUGAGGUUACAACAAACUCACCAACAGCUGCAGCUAAGCUUACAACUCCAGGCCCUCCAACAGAAACAACAACAACACAACUUACAUCUACAACUGAAAUAACAACCACAACUGCUUCAUCAUUUACACCUGAACCAACAACCACAACUGAUUCAUCAUAUACAACUGUACUAACAACCACAACUGCUUCAACAUAUAAAACUGAACGAUCAGCUACAUCUGAACAAAGAACCCCAAUGCAGACAACCACAUCAUCCCUACCUACAACAAGUGCAGCUCAAUCUACAACCCUAGUUACAACAAACUCACCAACAGCUGCAGCUAAGCUUACAACUCCAGGCCCUCCAACAGAAACAACAACAACACAACUUACAUCUUCUGCUGAACCAACCACCACAACUGUUUUAUCAUCUACAAAUGAACCAACAACCACAACUGCUUCAUCAUCUACAACUGGACAAUCAACUACAUCUGAACAGAGCACCACAA